AUCUAAGUCGGGAUCGGAUAAGCGCUGAAAGCAUCUAAGUGCGAAGCCGGCCACAAGAUUAGAUCUCUCAGGGUCGUUGCAGACGACAACGUUGAUAGGGUGCAGGUGUAAAGGUGGCGACACCAAAGCCGAGCACUACUAAUUGCCCGUCAGCUUUCUUA
rnacentral:rRNA from 1 species